UCGAUUAGAGUUUGAUCCUGGCUCAGAUUGAACGCUGGCGGCAGGCUUAACACAUGCAAGUCGAGCGGAUGAAAGUAGCUUGCUACCGGAUUCAGCGGCGGACGGGUGAGUAAUGCUUAGGAAUCUGCCUAUUAGUGGGGGACAACGUUCCGAAAGGAGCGCUAAUACCGCAUACGUCCUACGGGAGAAAGCAGGGGACCUUCGGGCCUUGCGCUAAUAGAUGAGCCUAAGUCGGAUUAGCUAGUUGGUAGGGUAAAGGCCUACCAAGGCGACGAUCUGUAGCGGGUCCGAGAGGAUGAUCCGCCACACUGGGACUGAGACACGGCCCAGACUCCUACGGGAGGCAGCAGUGGGGAAUAUUGGACAAUGGGGGGAACCCUGAUCCAGCCAUGCCGCGUGUGUGAAGAAGGCCUUUUGGUUGUAAAGCACUUUAAGCGAGGAGGAGGCUACCUAGAUUAAUACUUUAGGAUAGUGGACGUUACUCGCAGAAUAAGCACCGGCUAACUCUGUGCCAGCAGCCGCGGUAAUACAGAGGGUGCGAGCGUUAAUCGGAUUUACUGGGCGUAAAGCGUGCGUAGGCGGCCAAUUAAGUCAAAUGUGAAAUCCCCGAGCUUAACUUGGGAAUUGCAUUCGAUACUGGUUGGCUAGAGUAUGGGAGAGGAUGGUAGAAUUCCCGGUGUUGCGGUGAAAUGCGUAGAGAUCUGGAAGAAUACCGAUGGCGAAGGCUGCCAUUCUGGCCUAAUACUGACGCUGAAGUACGAAAGCUGGGGAACCAACAGGAUUAGUUCUUCUGGUAGUCCUGCCGUUAACGAUGUCU
rnacentral:rRNA from 1 species